CGGUAGUGGUAUUUGCCACUGCUAAGUCUGAUUAUCUGAUAGUCAGGAUUCUCUUUGGUAGCAAAAAGAAACCUCAGAGACAAGUCUCAGCACCGUCUGCUUCCAAAACCAAGUCAGCCGAAACUGUGGGGAAUGAUUCUCCAGGCACUAAUGAAGAGAAAGAAGAGAAUGUAAAAGUUGAUGAUGCAUCUGCUCCUCGAGCUCGGAAAUCCAGAAGGAGACCUGAGGUAGCAAGCUCUUCAAAUUUUGUGAGAUGUUCACAGUUCAGAUAUGCGUUGCGUUGUUAGGCUUUCCAGUGGCGGCUGAAGCGCACAUUUGCCUCCUUCCAAUUAAAAGUUAGCUUUACAAUUUGUCCUUGAAUUUGUGGACUAGAAAUCUGUGUCUGUGGCUUAUAUAAUUUCUUGUAAUUUGCUUCUUUGAACAAUUAUUUUUAGAGUUAACAUAGCUUCUUGUAA